rnacentral:lncRNA from 1 species
GACAACAAGCAACCCCAGACUAGAGACAGGAUCCUUCUCCCCACUUCGAGCAGAUCCCAGCAUGAAUCCUGCAGUAUGGUGAUGGCAAAAGUCAGUGCAGGACCACUGGGACUCCUGGAGCUUCUCACAUCUCUGAGAGCACCAGCAGCAGAAAUUAGAAUUAAAGGAAUCAGAAUUGAAGUGAAUCUGACUACACUAAGCCUAUCACUUGUGACAGCCAUGGGAAGAUAUCAUUGGUUGCUGAGGAGCAGAAAUAAGCAGAGACCUAUUGUGUUAGGUUAUCAUUCAUUUCAGUAACAGAAAUAAUCUAUUCAGAGUCAUGGAAAAAACAGAGUGGGCUGUUGGAAUUGGAAAGAAACAAACAAAAAGCAGAUCAGCAAGUUUUCAUAUUGCACUAUUUUCAAUGGCUGGAGCAUCAACAUUUUACAACAAGAAAAAAAUUAAAAUUCUUCAACAUUUGGAAAAGAAGUGUUUGUAAAACUUUUCACAUCCAUUCACCAUCCGGAAAAGCAAGGUUUUACAGUGAGGCCUGAUGAUGUCUAGAGUCACCAUGCAUCUUGGAAAAUGACCUCCUAUUUAUUUCUUCUACAGGACACCAUGGUGUUCACCUUUCUACAACUUUACACUUGCUGAGGACAUAUUGUGGAAAAUUAAGAGAAAUAUAUAUGGAUGGCCAAGGC